AUUGAAAGAAAAUUUUCUGGAAAUUUGAAACGGCAAACUCUAGAAAACAAUAUUGAAUUCUCUGUAUUGUUGGUUUGAAACUAUUCAAAAUUGGGCUUGUCUGUGGGAUUUUUGGUUUUUCCCUUAGCUUGAGCCUUUGAAAACUAUAAAUUCUUGUAUCCGAGUAAGAAAGGGUCUGAGUUUUCUGGGAUUUCAAAGCUUAUUUUGGGAGUUGUCUGGUUUUGGGUCAACUGUGCCUUUGAAGUCGAUUUUGCUGUGAUUUUCUCCUCUACGUUGAGUCUGAUGCUGUUGUUGUUUCUGUUGUGAUCUCGACUCAGCUUUCCAUUCUUUUGUCUUGCCAUUUGUACCAGGUACAUGUCCCUGAUCUUAAACACGUACGGACUGACUCAUGUGAUGUCUUGAGGAAAAGGAAGACUGAUGUUGUGUUUAUCAGAUGUUUCUUUCUUAUUCCUUUUCUCGCUCAAUUUGUUGGUUCAAUCUCCUUGAAUUAACAUGUCUAAAGUAAGGUUAUGUUGUAAAUGUUGUAACCUAUGAUGAACUGCAAUCAGACUGUUAUCCCAUAUGCGCUGAUCUCCAUUUGUUUUAACCCCCUAAGGGUUUAUCAUCGCUAGAAGAGCUGAUUAAUUCUAAGUUCCAAAAUGUGUUUGUAAACUCAGAAUACAUGGAUAUUUCUGUAAUUACACGAUCAGUAUUGUUAAGGUCGAGUAGGUGUUUGAAAUUUCUGUACGCUCCAGUUGCUGGGAAUGGGGAAAAUUAGCAUGUUAAAGUGUAAUUAGUAUUUUGCUGUUGGUAUGAACUCGAACUCGAGUCAGAUCCUUGAUUUAGCCUUAGCGAUAUUUGGGCUCUUAGGACCAGGCUUCAAGGUCUUUGGUAAAUUGAGUAGAAUGCCAUGGCCAUUUGGGCUUGUCCUUUAAGCCCGAAAAUUUAAUUGGUUAAUGCUGGAUUCUUUUCAUUGUGGGUCUAACAAAAAAUGUAUGUCACAUAAGUUGGAGGUUUAGUUGGUAGCUGAAGCUCCAGAUUAAAUGUUAGUGUAAGUUCAUAUUUUCAUGGGGUUUUGGUUGAUUGUUACUUAAUUGAUUUUGCAUAAGUUUAAAAUUCUAAGGAUUGGGCCUAAAUACUGGCCCAGUUAUGGAAUUCAAAAAAUAAGAUUCGUUUGUGUAUUAUUCGUUUUGGGUCGUCCUUGUCAGCGCCAAGUUGGGCCCAGAACUGUGAAAGCAUUAGAAAAUAAGAAGUGGAGGGCUUGGCCACAUGAACGCUCUCUCGCUAUUGGUUGUUGUUGGGACAAUUCGUUCUAAUAAUUGGCCCAAGUCCUCAUCGUCGAAUUAGUUUAAGGUGGUUUUGUGAAGUUGACUCGAUAAUUUCCUAUGCCUCUUAGCCAAUUAGCCAAGCCCUUUAAUAAUCAAGGCAAGCCGUAUUAUGUAACAUGGAUAGUUCAUGGCCGUCCGAAGCUUAGUGCGAAUUCCCUUUUAAAAUAAUUGAGGUGAGUCGCGCCAAAUAAAAUUCCAAAUACGUGGCCCUCAUUUAACUAUUUCUUUUGAAUCCUUAAAAAUCGAGGCGUGCCAUUUAGCAAAUUUCCAUGGCCCUCGCAAAGUUGCUAACGCGUAGUUGCUUUAGGUGCCUAUUUUAAUAAUUUACCAUCCUAAACUCGGGUGCGCAUUUAUGUGACCCAAAUCCAAGUCUCAACGAUGUUAAGAUAUGUCAAAAACCACGGGUGCAUUUAUGUGACGUGGUUCGAGACGUGUUUUAAUAACGUUGCAAUUUUAUUUAAAAAUUAAAUAAAAGCAGUUAUAAAUUUAAAACUGAACCAUAGGUUAAACAUGUAUCAAAGUCAGAUAAUUAAGCCAAUUAUAACAGUUGAGCGACCGUGCUAGAACCACGGAUCCCGGGAAUGCCUAACACCUUCUCCCGGAUUAACAGAAUUCCUUACUCGGAUUUCUGGUUCGCGGACUGUUAAACAGAGUUAACCUUUCCUCGACUCGGGAUUUGAACCGGUUACUUGGGACACCUUAAAUUAUCCCAAGUGGCGACUCUGAAUCUUUUAACAAAUAAUCCCGUUUCGGUUGUCACUUUAAGUUGGAAAAAACUCCCUUAUACACCCUUUACUGGGGUGUAGGUAAAAAAGGAGGUGUGACAGUGACUUAGUCCGUCCCGUACGACUGUAAAGUCACGUAUUUGAUUGGAAACUAUUGGAUAUCAUUGUGUUUUGGAAAGUAUUACUAUAUUUUGGGAGGAAUGCCAUAUUUGGGCCUCGUGCCAACUAUUUGGACCCUUAUGGGGCUUUUUACUACUAUUCCUCACUAUUUUGACUUAAUAAUUGUACUCAGUCAUGUUGUGUUUUACUGAUUUCAUAACUCAGCUUUAUUUACUCAGUUUUGAUACUAUAAAUGAUAUUUUGGGCUGAACACCCUGUUUUACUGAUAGUCCGAGUGGCUUGAGAGAUUAAUGAUUGAGAGAGGCCAAGGGCAUGAUUGUGAGGUUGAUGACCGAGAGAGGCCGUGGGCCUAGUUGUGAGGAUUAUAUAUUUAUGGAUCGGGCUGCACGCCGCAACGAUAUAUAUAAAUAUAUGUAUGUAUGUAUGUAUAUGAAUCGGGCUGCACGCCGCAACGAUAUAUGGAUCGGGCUGUACGCCGCAGCAAUAUGUUGGAUCGAGCUGUACACCGUAGUGAUAUAGCGCUUGGGCUGUAGGAGCCCCUCCGGAGUCUAUACACCCCCAGUAAGCGCGGUCGACUAUAUGUAUAGAUCGGGUUGCACGCCGCAGCAAUAUAUGGAUCAGGCUGCACGCUGCAAUGGUUAUUAUAUGGUACCUAUUGAGCGUGAGUGCUGAGUGUGAGCGUUGAUUGAUGAGAGUUGAGUCAUGAGUGACUGAGAGGCUUGCCCGAGGGGCUAUAUACACAUGUAUAUGACUGUUGCUUUGCCUGAGGGGCUUGUUUUAUGAAAUUACUGUUUUCACUCAUCUUUAUACUGAGCCUCUAUUGAAAAUUUUAAACAAAUGUUUUGAAUAACUUUCAUUGAAACUGGAAUUUUUAAAGGAGAGAUUUGGAGUUAAAUUACUGAUUUGGCUUUGUCAUUUCCACUGAGAUUUUCAUGUUAUGUUAUGUAUAUGAAUGACCGAGAGGUUUGAUAGAAGGGCUAUUUAUAAAUUUUUUUGCCCGAGGGGCCGAUCAUGAUUUUCAUCAUUUUCACUAUAAACUACAUUGAACCUCUAUUGAAACUGUUAGAAAUUUUUCAAAGGAUUUUACUGAAAUUGGAGCUUAACGAGAUGAUUUGAUUUGUAUCCUAUGUUGGAAAUAUACUGUAUCCGCUUUGGUGCUAUGACGUGGAUUACAUGAUUUCUUACUGCACAUUCUUUAUUUACUUUCAUUACUUACUGAGUUGGCGUACUCACACUACUCCUUGCACCUUGUGUGCAGAUUUAGGUAUUUCUGAGCUCGGUGGCAGGUUCAUCGGAGUUAGCAAGGUAGCUGCCUGGUGAUCACAACCCUGUUUUUAUCCCUUAGUAUAUUCUUGUGAUUUUCCCAGCCAUAUUGGUCUUGAUGUUGUCAGACAGUUGUAGUAGAUGCCCAUGACUAGUGACACCCCGAUGUCGGGCUUUCUUUCCGCACUAUUGUUUGUUUUUAAACAAUAUAUAAAGGUUUAUUGUUAAAUAGUUUUGUUUUCAUC
rnacentral:lncRNA from 1 species